rnacentral:lncRNA from 1 species
CGGUAAUCGGUAACCCGACAAUAUUUUUGAGUUGUAGACUAUUUCGUGUUUUAAAUUAUUAUUUUUAUCAGCUAAAAGUAAUUAAAGCCAUUAAAUUUGAUUUUUUUUUUAAGAAUAUUCACGGCAAGUCGAUCCCUUGUCAGGAGCCUCGGAUAUUUUGUGGUUUUUCAGCGAGAAUUUUUUUUAAGAAGAAAUUGCCAAUUUAAUUGAUCAAAAUUACUCAACUCUGAAAAUUCAAAAGUUGAAGGGGUCUUUUGAAAAUGUCCUACAGUUGAUCACCUAAUCAAACAUAGAAAAAAAAAAAAGAAAAAAAAAAGUUAUAUAGUGAAUGAUGAGUUAAUAAUUAAUUCUUUCUUACAUGAAGUCUAUGUAUUGAUUAAAUAUUAUGUGUGCGCACUUAAUUAGUUCUCUUGCCCAAUCCCCCACAUUUCUUUAUUUUCUUCUCUUUUUUUUUUCUCUCUCUCUCCCUCCAUCCCCCUCUUCUCUCUCUCUCUUCAUUUUCUUUCUCUCUCUGGCCUCUCAUCUGCUCCACUGGCAACAAAGAUUCCUCUGCUGGUCUUCUUCUCCUCCCUCCUCUGCAGUUCUAGAGAGAGAGAGAGAGAGAGAGAGAUUGGGUUUAGAGAGAGAGAGAGAGAUUGGGUUUAGAGAGAGAGAGAGAGAGAUGCCCCCAAGAGCCUAUGUACUAAUCUUCUUUUGCUGGGCUCUAAUCACCAUUAUCACCCCUACCCUCAUCUUCUGGUCUGCUUCAGCAAAACCAAACCUCGGUUCUCACGGUAUAUAAAACAUACAUCACCAUUUCUCAUCUUUUGUACAUGAUCAUUAUUGUUGUUGUUGUUGUUGUUAUCUGUAUUGGGUUUAUCUACUUAUCAAUUUAGUAGCUAAUCAAAUGCUUGUUUGUUUUGCAGGAGAAGCUAUGAAUGAAAUAAAAUCAAGGAGAAUGAUGAGCUCAAUGGAAAAUCCACACUACUUGGAGAUCAAGAAUAGAAUAAUAGUAAAUACGACAGCAUUUUCGCCGGCGCCGGCCCCGGCGCCUUCGCCUCUUCCUAUGAGAGGGAUUGAUACACUUAGGUAACUACAAAUUAAGAGAUCGAUCUACUUAUUUUCCUUUCUUUUUUUUACAAUUUAUUUUCCUUUUUAUUUAUUGUUUGGAGAUAUAGAGAGAGAAAGAGAGAGGGGGGGAUUUUAGGAGGAUGAGUUGAUCUACAAUAAUAUUAUAGAAUAAGAAGUGGCCGCAGAUCUUGUUCUUACACCAUUCGAUAGGAAGAGAUUUGUUGUUACUUAAUUAUAUCUCCUUCAUUAAUUUUUUUCCCAUGUAAAGCUCCAAUAGAUUCAUAAUAGAUUCAUAAUGACUAUUAUUAUUAUUAUUAUUAUUAUUAUUGAUUCAUAUAUAUUCUUGUUCUCUAUUUCUACUAUUAAAUGUAUCCUGUGUUUGGUUUGGUAAAGUUAAAUUGUAAUAUGCAAUUUGAGAGAAAUUAAAGUGCAUUUGUGGGUGUCUCUUUCCUGUGAUUGAGUGAGGCAGUUAUAUAUAAAAGGGGGAAGAAUUAAGCAUCUAAAUGAAUGUUUAGGUAUGGCUUAUAAUUGCUUGUCAUGUGUCAUUUUUUUUUUUUCUGGUACAAUUAUUAGGGCUCAGCAGCUGUAUCCUCAGUGGGGUCACAAUAAAUUUGGAGAGGCAAUUAACAUGCAAACAUUUAUUGAUAAAUUUGGAUGGGGCAAAAUUACAUGUGAACAGAAGAAGACACUGCUUGUUUGUGACAUUUAAUAAUAUGGAUUAAUUGGAGAAGUAUAUAUAUAUACACAUUUUAAACUCUUUCGGUUACUAGAUCAAUAAUAUAUCCAGAGAAAGAGAGAGAGAUAGAGUAGGUCUUGUCUGUUAUUAGCAGCAUGAAGACCUCCGUGCUUCCAAGUCAUUUUCGAUGAUAGGACUUUCGAAUCGACAAUCGGCUCCGCUAGAUUUGAUCUAGCGCAUUUGAAAUAUAUACAAAACAAUUUUUGAGGAUUUUCGAUAUCGUUUAUCUAGUAAUCGAAAGUGCCAAUCAUAACUUUUUUUAGAUUUUUAUUUCCAAUUGUUGAUUUUAAGUCUUUUCGGUCACUAGAUAAAUGAUAACGAAAAACCGUAAAAUUUAUUUUCUAGAUAGUUCAAAUACGUUAGAUCAAAUCUAACAAAGCCGAUCGUCAAUUCGGAAGUUACAUCAUUGAAAACGGCUUAGGAGCACCGAGGCAUUCAUGCUUCUAAUAGUAUAUAAGACCUACCAUAUUUAUACAUGAAUUGGUCUAAAUUUGUUCCUCCUUUUGUUAAAUCAAGAAUUGGCUCAGAUAUGCAGUUGUUUUAGGGAUGGUGCGAGUGCUUAAUUUCUCUGUAACAUCUACACCAUUUUGAAUUGAUCAUAACCAAAUCAAAUUUUCACUCAACAUAAAGUCCAUCAUUAUAAUUUUUGGUUCUGAGAGAGGUACCUAAACUUUACAAAUUAAAUAAACUUCAAUUUGCCUUUAUGCGAUAUAUCAUUUUUUUUUUUUACUUUCUCACUCCGUGAUUCAAAAGUUGCAUUUGACUAUAUAUCAUGUGGUAUGGCGCAUUUUUACUUUGUCACCCCGCAGUUCAAAAAGUUAUAUUUAACCAUCCUACAAUUUUAAUUUUGUUUCACUGUAAGGACCUUUUGUUAAACAAGGGAUCGCUUUGUGAAAUUUACUCUAUUUGACGAUAAAACUUUUUUAUUAAAAUAAAAAAAAAAUCUAUAUAAAAGUUAAGUGUAGCUUUUUAAACUGUAGGUGGCAAAAUAAAAAUGAGCUAUAUCACACAACAGAAAAAAUUAACUAAUAUUUAUCUUUAAAAAUUUUAAUUUUACUAUCUAGCCAUAUAGUACUUUUAAAAUCGACAUCUGAACAUUAAAAGAUCUAAUUUUGGAAUCUAAUUUUACAGUAGUUAUAAGCUAAGGUUGUUGAUAAAAUAUGUUGUCAAAGUAACAAAAAGUACUUCUGGUAGGUUGUAGAAUAUUCACUUAAAAUGUUACAAAUAGUAAAAAGAUUAGAUAAAACACUCUACACUCAAAACAUUAAUGUUCAGGUACCUACAUUUUUCGAAAAUAUCGUAUGGUUAAAUAGUAAAAUCAAAAUUUGAGAUAUUUGUUUCAAAAUGUACUUUACUUACUAUAGUACAGGAAAAUAUGUACUUUUUAUCUGACCUAAUUAAUUACUUAAUCUGGCAAACCCCUCAUUAAUUUGUUCGGCUAGUGAUUUUGUAUUAGCUCAUGCAAGUGUUACAAAAUAGAGUUUUAGCAAAGUAUAGUAAAUUCUUAUGUGGCUAAUCUUUAACCAAAAUUGAUCCUAUACAUCUGUUAGCCAAAAAUAAAUAAAAAUAAAAAAAGAGGACCUACAUGUUAAUGGCUGCACUGGAUCCAAGUUUGAAGCAUGAAUCAGGUGAGUUGAGCUAACCUGCAGACAGUCCUGUUCGUUGGCUAAAUUGAGCAAUCAAUCAUGGUUCCUGUCAGGUUUCUUAACUCUACAGUCUACACACUAAGCAAUCUCACCGUCCAUCUGCGAUCAACUGCAGUAGUCGGAAUGUCAAUGGAUAUGGAUAUUCAAAAUUUUAUCCGAAUUCGAAACUAAUCGGAAUGGAUUCAUCCGAUGCUAAAUAAAAAGAGUUUCAGAUGUGGAUAUAAAAAAAAGACGCCAACAUAUAUAUAUAUAUAUAUAUAUAUAUAUAUAUAUAUAUAUAUAUAUAUAUAUAUAUAUAUAUAUUUACUAUAGAAUUAGGCUGGGAAUACUAUUAGUAGUAAAACGCUCUUUUUGCUAUCAAGUUUUUUAACCUUUUGAUGAAAAAUUGUAGGGUCAGGAUGGUAUUAGUCGGUUAAAGUUGAGUGGUCCCCCUAAGGUUGAGUGGUCCCCACUGGGUUAUAGUAUAUAUAUAUAGAGUUGGACUGGGCUACUAUUAGAUAGCAAAUUUCAUUAUUGCUACCAGUUUUUUGCCUUUGGAUCAACUCUUUUCAUCAUUUCUAACCAUUAGAUUAAAUACUAUAAACCAGUGGGGACCACUCAACCCUAGGAACCACUCAACUUUAAGCGACUAAUACCAUCCUGACACCUACAAUUUUCAUCCAAGGGUUAAAAAUUGAUAGCAAAAAGAGCAUUUUCUAUAAUUAGUAUUCCAGCCUAUUCUAUAUAUAUAUAUAUAUAUAUAUAUAUAUAUAUAUAUAUCGAUAUAAAUGUUUGAUUUUAUAUUUAAAUUUGUAUUUGAAAACUUUAGAUUUAAUGCAAUAUAUUUUAAAAUAUGGUGAAGAAAAAUAAUUAUUUCGAAUUUGGAUUUGUGGGUUCGAGUUCAGAUUUCGGAGUUUUGGUUAUGUUCGAGUUCGGAUUCGAAUUUCGAAUUUGAUAGUCGGAUUUAGAUUCUUAAAAAUCCAUCCUGAAUCUCAACCGUUUUUUAACAUUUCUAAACUAGCUAGAGUCAAACCUUCAAAAUCCAACGGCUGAGAUGCAUCCUGUCGCAUAUAGGGAUGUUUAUAUAACUUUUGUACAUAAUUCUAUCCAAUGUGCGUCCUCUUAAUUCCAUUAAGGGGAUGUUUAUAUAUUCUAGAAAAUAAUUUUUCUUACUAGAAAAAUAUUUUUCUCUCUUUUAGUUCUCAAAAGAAAUGGUUUUUUUACAAAUUUUAUAGAAAAAUUCCCUUUUGGUUUUCUAAUUUUUUUUUUUCAUCUAGAAAAAAAUAAAAACUGAAGAAAAAGCGUAUUUUAUGAAAAAAUAUCAUUUUAAAAAAAUUUACGAUUUUUGGCGAAAUAAACACUCCCGGAGAGAUUAUACCUCGUUUGCCAAAUGGGAAACAAUUAAUCACUGUCAGUCCUAGCAGCUCUGACUAAGUCCAUAGUUUGUAUGUAUUUGUUCACAGACGUUGGAAACGAGCCCGAGCUUAUGUGAACUUUAAUUUCGAGUCUAAAUUUAGGCUCAAACUCGACUUUAAAUUAAUUCGAGAUGAGUUCGAGUGAGUCUAAAUUCGAAUCGAGCGAACUCGAGCUUUAAACGAGCCGCUUGAAAUUCUUAAUAUGAUGCAACCUAUAAUUUAAUUUUUAUAUAACAUUAUCUAAAAUUUCAUACAAAAAUAUGUUUAAUAAUUCAACAUAUAAAAUAAAUGUAUGAAAUAUGAUAUUAUAAUACUAAGAAAAAUAAUUUAGGGGACAUGACUUUGCGAGGAAUAAGUGAAAGAAAGAGAGAAAGAGAGUAAUUAGAGUGUGGUUUUGGUGGUUUGAUUUUGUUGGCUAGCAAAUAUGCCUAAUAAACCGAAUUCUAUAUAUAUACAUAUAAUUAAAAUACAUAAUAUGUAUUAUAUAUAUAAUUAUAAUAUAUAUUAUAUAUAAUUACAUAUAUAUUUAUAUAUAUAUAGAGAGAGAGAGUAUGUCUCCUGUGCUUUCGAAAGUACGGAGGCCUCCGUACUUAUAAGUUGUUUACGAUGAUAGGGCAUCUGAUUCGAUAAUCGACUCCGUUAGACAUAAUCUAUACUAUUGAAACUAUUUAAAACUCAAAUUUUAUAAUUUUUCGACAUCAUUCACUAAGUGCUCAAAAUGUCUCAACAAUGGCUAUUUUAACGGUCGAUAUGAUACGUUUUUAAGUUCAAUGGUGUAAAAAAUAAUCUAAAUUAUAUGAAACUUUAAUAAAAAAUUCUAUUUAACAUCAAUAGUAAGAACAAUACUCGUUAUUUGAAAUUUGAGUGUUUUACCACCGUAUUUUAAGAGAUUUUUAUUUUCAGCCGUUCAUUUUGAGACUGUCAUUAAACAAAAGAACUCAAAAAAUUAUGAAAUUUAAUUUCUAAAUAGUUCUAAUAGCGUAGAUCAUGAUAACCGAACCGAUUGCCGAAUCGGAUAUCCCAUUAUCGAUAACAACUUAAAAGCUCGGGCUCUCCGUACUUUCGAAAGCAUAAGUGCCUAGCUCUAUGUGUAUAUAUAGAAUUGCGUUGUAAUACUAUUAAUAGUAUUAAUAAUUAACUAAUUAAUAAUUAACUAAUUUAAUAAUAAAAUAUUAGCUAAAUUAAUAAUUAUUUAUUAGUGUGUUUAUUUAAUUACUAAUAUCUUUAUUGAUUAAUAGGAAAAAUAUUCGGGAACUCACGAACUACAAGGAUAUCCUCGAGUCCCGAUACCGUCGUAGGCACCUCUCGAUGCCGUCAUAGGCACCUCUACUACCAUCGCUAAGAAAGCGAUACAUCCUCGACUCAUCAGCUGUCUAGCCCUUGCUGAAGAGAUCCAAGUGGCAAACAACAUACUCCUGCAGUCUCUGACGGUGAACUCCUCCUGGCCUGGCUCGUGAAACGUCACUGUCCUAGCUCUACAGUGGAUCGUCGCAUAAUACCGAGCCAGCCAAUCCAUGCGAAGCACUACAUCAAAGUCCUGCAACUGCCCUGAGACCAACAGGUCUGCAAGCAUAAUCCAAGAGCCCAACUGCACUGGACAAGCCCAACAACACUCCGCCAGAUAUAAAAUAUGGUCGGAAAUCUGCACAUCUCGUGCAUACAACAGUGGCCCUAUCUCUAGUCCAUACAAUGAUACAAAUACUCGACUAAUAAAAGAAUGUGAUGCACCAGUAUCAAAUAAAGUACGAGCUGUAAUACCAGAAAUCAAAAUGAUAUCUCCCACCACACGGUCUGCUGCCGUGGAGUCCCCAACUUGAGCUGCAUAUACUCUGCCACUCGAUGUCUGCUGUUGCCGCUCACUGUACCGCGGCACUGAAGCUCUGUUAGCCUGGCUGUAGCUCGGUAGUGCUCCAAAGGUCUGCGGAGGUACCGGCAGGGCCGACGCCGUCGAAGGUGCUGGUGCUGGUGCUGCUGCUCAGGGACAAGCCGCUCGUAGAUGCCCUGGCUGUCCACAACCAAAACACCGGCCCUCUCUCAGCUCACAAUAACGAGGCCAGUGCGGUCCCCUACAAAUAACACACUCUGGAAUCCCCUGCUGCUGUCGCUGCUGACGAGAUCCCUCGGACCGCUGUCGCCUCGAAGACCCACGACCCUGAAAACGUGAUCGUUGAGGCCUCGGCGGAUGCCUUCUAUUGGUCUGUCCUCCGUCAUCUAGAACCGGACGCUUCCUGUCCUGACUCUGUCCCGACACCGUGGCUCGCUCACGAACUGAUACAGCUCCUCUCUCAACCCACAACGCCUGCUCAAUUGACGCAUCCAAGGUUCUCAACCUCUACAUCUGAACCAAAACAAAGAUCCCUGACCUCAGACCUCUCUCAUACAAAUAGACCUUGUGGGCUCAUCCCUGGCUACAAAUGCAACACGGUUCAGAAGCCUAGUGAACUCUCGAGUGUACUCCUGAACUGACUGCUCUCCCUGCUGUAGCUUUUUCAGGUCUGCCUCGAGUUUUUCUUCACACUGGUUGAAAAAUAGGCCCCGUACAGCAUUCCACAAAACUCGUCCCACCUCAUCUGUAGAGCCACCAAACGUCGGUUCUGCCGCGUCCUCCUCCACUAGGCAUAUGCAUCAUCCGCCAAACAGUGCACUGCCAGAUAUACCUACUCUCGCUCCGGUAUAAACAGAUCCUCAAACUGUUUUUCCAUCGCACUCACCCAUGCCUCUACCACCCAGGGCUCGGUGCGACUACCAUUGAAGUGCGGCGGAUCAAAUCGACAAAAAUGAGUGAGCCUCUCUGUCAUCCGCUCCUGCUCGGCCUCUGACAUCUGUGACGCCUCUCUGGGAGGUGCAACUGGUGCGGUAGGAGCUGUCGCUGGUGGGGGUACGGUUGUGGCUGUUAGUUGUAUGCCCUAGAAGCCUAUCAGGCUGACGCAUUUUAUUUUCUAUGGGACAUAUUUUUGUACUUAAUCUUUAUAUAAUUGGGCCUUUUAUUCCAUUCAUGUUAAAUGUGUCCAUGAAUCGUCCUUUGAAUUAAUAAGAUGAUAAUAUGUAUUCUCAAGAGUUGAGAAUUUGAGAUACAUAUUAUUGGUGAUUAAUUCAUAAUGCUCUCAAUCGGAGGAUCAUCAUGGGGACGAUGAUUGAUCCGGUAAGAUUGAUGUGUGUGCCGCUUCCCUUUUGGGAUGACGAAUCUCGAGUCAUCAGUGUGGGGACACUGGAGCGAACAUGCAGGUGGUUGUUGGNAAAAUAAAAUAAUAUAGAUCCUAUUUGAUUAGAUCAAUUAGAUCUAUUAUUAAUGAUCUAAAACGAAACACGAGGUGAUCUUUGGUUUUCAAGAAAAUUUUUCAUUGUGUUAUUUUCUUCCGCUGCGUACACAUGAUUUUCUUACAGUGGCUGGUGCGGCCACUGGAGUAGUCGGAGGUGGUGCCUGCUACUCUGACAUUCUGGGCACUGUACUCGGCUGCUAAGUAAAAGUCUCACACAUUCUCUAUAGUAACACCCCCUGCUGCGUGGUCACCUCAAUCAAGGCAGCCAACUGCUCUAUCAAAUUAGGGGGUGCACUCGGUCCUGCCUGUGCCGGCAUCUCCGAUGGCGCUGAACGAUCCCGCAUCGGUGGUCGAUCUCGGCGUCAAUACAUAGUUACCUGAAACCAAAAUAAGGGUCAGAUACAAAACACAACCAACUCUCGACCCAAUCAAGCAAAAAUUUUGAAAGCCGCUCAUGUUCCUCCUCAAAAUUAUGUCAGUUGCAGCCGACAUAAUUUUCUUGGCAGAAACAGUCACUCCUUAGGUCACUCCUUCCACUCUAGGAGGAGUUAAAACAACUCAAUCAUCGACUUUCGCGAUAAGUCACGCCUCUCGCGUCUUACCUUCCUAAGGUCUGCCAAGCCUAGGGCUUUCUAGGUCUCAACGACCUAAUACUAAGCUCUAAUACCAACUUAAUCUAUCACGCCCCGGAUUACCAUGUUUCCCCGGGCACGCCAACAGACCCGCCGUAUACAUAGAAAUUUUUCGUGUUUACGAAGCGAUAACUGUACCUGCAAACGAAUAGAAGCUACAACCAAAGUACAGAGCUGCUAAAACUAAAACAUAUAUAAAACUUAAAGGAUUCACUGUACAUACAAAAGUCCACCAUAACACCUCGCUCUAGCGAGUACACAAAACACAGAGUAUGUACAUGGAAACCACCCACUAGUUCUGAUGGGUACUCUGCUAGCAUGGCGACCACGGGUGACAAGGAUCUAGCUCGCGACUCCCUUCCCACUGUCGGAAUCAGCAACAGCUGCAGCCGCAGACGAAGGCUCUGCAAAAAGGUGUCAAAACUAGGUGUGAGGACUACUGCGAAACAGAGUAGUUCUCAGUGGGUACUGCCACCGAUCUCAACAGCCCACCCACUAAGUCUACAAAAAUAUGUGCAAAAAAUAGUAAGGAAAGCUGGAAAGACCUCUAUAGCUAAAUGCCACUAUACCAUCGCUAACUAACACAGGCUAUCUAUAGAUAUAAACAUGCAUCACUAGCUGCCACUGACCCAAUCUCACACGGGCUGCCCAAACGGACCCACCCUGCCUGUAACCAAGCUACACCGUACACCACCAACGGGGAUGACCGGUCCAAAAAAAUAGUCCAAACAGAACGGCUGCGAUAUCAACACAAGUCAAAGCCUCACUCUGGAGCGGCACUCGUGGGCGCGACCUAACCGAAUAUGCAAGCGUGUCUCUGCCGAGUUCAAUUAGGCUUUCACAGGCUGUAGUCAAUACAAAUGGGUCUAACUGGUAUAACAACCAAAACUCACGUGCCCUUGGCACAAUCUGAUGCAAAUCUGGGUCCACCGUCAACCACGACGGCACCCGACAGUACGGAACAGUCUACACUCUACUGUAAAAUGAGCUUGGUGCCUCAGCACGAGCGUAAACUCAUACUAUACUAAUCUGAGUAUCCAGUACGCACUAACAGUGGGGAUACAAAAAAACCACAGCUCCUGAAGCUAAAUCUGGUAACUUUUCAGAAAAUGACAGUGUAGGUUUAACGAGUUUUCUCCUAAGUCAAAUCCCAGUUCAACAUGUAUAAUUUCAUCAAAUCACUAAUGUAUGCUCCAAAUUCAAAUUUUAUAAAACAAUCAAUUCGAUGAAUUUGAGCUACCAACAUGAUGAACAACACCAAUAAUACAUGCUGACAAUUAUAGGACUUAGAAAAAAAUCCGACGAUUUCGGUAAACAUAAACCCACAUCGAGCGCUCGUCCAACGUCGGCUAGGAAUUGAUAGGAGGAUCCUCGCGCUAGCUCGACCUCAAGCGGCUCAACCGAUACCGGCCACCGCACACGAACAAUCCUCGAAUACAACGAAAAGGAAGCUCAGCUUGCACCUCCAACAGCUCCACCGGGACCAUCCACGCGCUCGAACAACCUUUCUACAAUCAAAUCCAACUGGAUAGGGAGAGGGAAGAAGAAGAGAAGCUAACAGCCUUCUCCAACCUUUCUAUGCAUAUAAAUAGGCUGAGGGUCGGUUGGCAUGAACGACAUAUCAAAAGGACCAAAAUACCCUUACCAACUCAUUUUUCCACCUAGAGUAUCGGUACUCAGCUUGAAUACCGAUACUCAGUCCCUCAAUUCGUAGUCUCGUGCGCAGGGUACCGGUACCAGCCCGAUGUAGUACCGAUACCCGAGCUCAAUACCAGUACUCAACAAUAGGUACCGGUACUCAGCAUCAGACAUGCGCAAACCCGAGAGCAUCCAGUUCUACAAUCUCACUGGGGUACCAGUACUUCUCCCCAGGUACCAGUACUCAACACUGAAAUCCUACACUUUGCAGAUUUCAGUGUCAGAACUCCACUGUCGCACCACGCUAAGUCCGUUUUGCAUCCAUUUCGCACCAAAACGACUCCGACUUGUCUCAACACCUACCAGACGUGUCAACAAGCCACAGAUACUGGUAGUCUCUCAGACCGCUAAACACCAGGGAUAUUACACUAUUAACUUUGAUUUAUAAAGAUUGUCCAAUUUUGAAUUGGCUUUCAAAAAAGGACCCUGGGGUAUGACAAAAUAAGGUGGUAUCAGAGCAAAAGGUUACAACACGAACUCACUCAUGAUUUUCUUGAAAAUAAAACUGAACCACUGGUUGGGUUGACCCAUAGAAAGACCUAAGGUGAUAGAUACGCGAGUGCGAGGUUGUUAGGAUUGAGUCCCGGUGUUCUGGUCGAGUUUUAAUAAUCUCAAGGUGCAUGGUUAUUGCUCUGUGCGCGUUACGAUUUUCGUACAGACUUAUGUCUCAGCCUGGAGUAGUGGUGGUGUACCAGUGUAGACAUCGAGUGGUGGAGUGAUAUUCACUAAGUGUAGCCGCUCCUGUCAAGUAGGGACCUUCAAGGGCCAAGUGAUAUUACUUACUGGGCCAAGACGAUUGUCUCAGCUGUUAUUGCCCAGGCCACACUCCUUACAUAGAGCACGAGUGCUACUAGGAGCAUCUCCGCGGAGAUGAUGUAUAGAGCGGCUUCGACUGUGGCUAUUGUGAGGGCUGCUAGAGUACAGCCCGAGACUUUAUUACCGGCCACUUGUGCGACUGCAGUAUGGGUAAUUCUCCUCCAUGCUUGGUAAGUAAGGCUGUGAUGCCUACCCUAUCAUCUUAUUCUCUAUUGGUGGCAUAGUGUCACGGAGAGAGUAGUGAACUCAAUUUUGGGUAGAUGCAGUGAGUUUGUGAGAUCUAACCUGCCUAGCUUCGACGACAUGACUCCUGACCUUAGAAUCAGGAGUAUGGAUCGAGAUUACUGUAGAACUCUUACAGAGCCCCAGGCAAGACGCUAUGGUCGGUGCUAGUAUAAUCGAGCAGGUUCGCCCGACUCGUUAGCUACAUCCUGGUCGAGUUGCGCACGUGAGUUGCACGGUGAGGUUGUGUCACGCCCGGGUACCAGCGGAAGCAUAUCCGGUACGUGCACAGACCCGCCAUACACCUGCAGUAUAUAAGGCAUCUAUGAAGAAAGCAAGUCGAUAGGAAGUAAAGCAAAGAGAGUCCUAUCCUAAUAUCAGAGCAAUAUACAAUUCGAUAUACUAUCAGUAAAAGAACAACGAGUAUACAAUCCAAAAUCUAGACAGAAGAGAAGUAUCACAACUGUAAUUCUCGGUCCAAGUAGUACAUAAACAUCACGAGUAUACAAAAAUAGGAUAGGUACAAUGGUGGUUUCUCUAUACAAAGGACAUCACCCUCGGCCGUAGCCCGAGUAGCAAGGUGAUUGACUAGCACGCUCCUAGCAAAGUCUAGCUAGACGCGACUCCCUUGCCACGAUCCCUAGCCUCUCCUGUAGAUGGCUCUGUAAAAACAACCAUAAAAAGGGCGUGAGAACUAUUAACAAUAGUUCCCAGUGGGUAAGCCGCCAGCCUCGGCGAAUUACACCACUAGGCUCAUGAUGUACUAAAUGAAAGCGAAAGCAAUAAUUGCAUGAUGCUAACAAGUAAUGAGCAUGUAAUUGCAGGGUACCUUUCCAAUGCUAAGCAAGUAAUAAGGAUGUAAACAACAUGUAAUAGCUUUCUACAGGAAUGAAUUAAACAAUAAAACAUAGCAGCUACUGUAAGCAUGAACAUAAAUAUGAAUGUGUAAGCAGAAACUAUACACAAUGACUGGUGAUCAUUCAUUACUGUCCAAUGUCCUUUAGCACAUUCCUUUCAUACACAGGGACCUACCCAAGGUAGUCCAGCUUGCGCCGUGCCUAAUGGCCCCGUGGUAGUAUACACUCCCCACGGCAAUCUACUUCGGCACCCAAUCCCGCACGGGCGAGCAACUGUCGCGUAGGCCAACUCCGGAGUGCCAGCUUGUAGGGAGCGACCCUCACAAGCAUGUGCGAAUGAGCACGAUGGCAAGCAAGCCUAUUUCACAAUCCACAGGUCUCAAUUAUCAUGUUUUCAUUUGUAAUGUUCUUACCCUCGAUCUUCUGAUCGGAAUUCCAAUACCCGAAUAGUAACAAGAACUAGUAUCCACUAGAUUGUAAACAUGUAAGAGUAAUGCUAAAUCACAUGGCAUUAUAAUCUUUCCACUAUUAUGGCACUAGCAACAUAGUCUUAAGCAUGUCAUAGUUCUCUACUUUGGAGUCGAGUCAAGAGAUGUCAUUGUUCUCUACUUUAUAAGUGCAUCCUACACUUGUUCAUAAGUCAUUCAACUGAAUUGAAUAUAAAUAUAAAUACUUUCAUGUAUAUGUGUUCUCUACUUUAUAGAGAUUUCAAGUCAAUUUUACUUCUCAAGUCCUAUAUCAAACGCAAAAGCGCACAACAACACCAAUUCUAUAGCACAUAUAGAACAUAGGGGAGCUCCACUUGCUCUGGUUAGGUCCGACCCACCUAUUAUGAAGCUCCAAUCAACCACAAGAAUUCCCAAUAUACUGCUCAACAAGGCUCCGAUCCUGCUGAAAACAAGAUAAGAAAGUCGCGCCAUGACGAUUACUCAAAACUCCAAUUUCGGCAAAAUUCGCAAUAAGUACAAAGUGGAAACUUAAUUCCCUGUUUUUGGGCUAAGUAUAUACCUCAAGUUAAGCCCCUAAUGACAUUCCAAUGCCAACAGAAAAUGAUCCCAAGGUCAAAAGCGCUAUUGCUGCGAGCAACAUCAAUACGGCGUCAAAAUCGUCAAAGAUUAAUAUACACACGUCGGAAUCAUAAAAUUUCAGUUUCUACCUGAAAUUCUUGCUUUCCUCAGGUUAAAACACCUUCCACACUACUCCCCAAGGUCACUAAUUACAUUCAAAUAGGUUCAAAAACCUGCUGCGAAGACAACAUAUAAAACUGCAUUAACAAGUCGCAUAAGGUGCCGAAAUCGCUUCAAAAAGACCUACUUAACUCUACCGAGCUUCAAAGUAGCUUAUCCCAGAUUUAAGGAGGUUAAGCCGCAACUAAAAAACCCAUUUAUACUUGCUGAAACCUCAGAAGAAUAUAGCUAGAAGCAUAAACUCGAAUUCCAUACUCAAAGCGACUAAUAAAACGUCGAUAACGGAAAAGUUGAGCCGAUUACCUUCUUAGACUUCCCACCAGUGAGCUACUGGUUCAGGGCUGCGAAAAGCCUUCCAAAACGCUCUCUUGCACGUGCACAAAGGCGCUGCGACGCUCGCAACCAGCGAAGAACGCGCGCGACGACGAAAACGAGCGAAAUCGGCGAUUUUGUUGUAGAGAGAGAAAAACCCUAGAGAGAGAGAAAGAGAAAGAUGGGAGAACACUUCUCUGGACUCCAGCAAGCUCCACUGAGCAUCCCUGGUCGAGCUGGGGUCUUAAAGAUAGAGAUCAAGUGUGAAAUGACCAAAAUAGCCUUAUUGCCACGAAUCUGUCAAUGUUGUACCGGUACAAGGCGAUGGCUGUACCGGUACAACAAGCAGAAAAAUGCUGAUUUUCGCAGAUCAAUGCAUUUUCUCACUUUUAGCAUUCCAAUCAACCUCUAACUUUUUCAAAAACUUGUUCUAACCUUUUAGAAUAUGUAGAAUUGAUCCACACAUCAUUCCACACACUCGAACCCUGCAAUUUGCAAAAAUUCAGUGUAUUACAGGUUGUCACUCACUGAAUUAUCAGUGCAGGUGCUUUGACUAUCUGCCGAUUCACAUGCCCGGUGAGGUGCUUUGGAACUGCUUUGGGACGUAGUUCUAGUGUGGGUUUUUGUUGUGCACACCUCGUGUGCGGUUACCCCAACACCUUGAUUGGUGUGUUGUGGGAUCGGUAGGCAUUUGGCAUGUCAUGAGCUACUGCUUGGGAUUACUUGGGAAUCUCGGAGGAUUAGUAGCUGGUUCGCUGAAGUUUGGCAUUCUUGUUGCAAUCGCACUGGCUUGUGAGGGUGGCGAUUUUAUGUGGCGGGCUACCGUCUGUUAUCAUGGAGAGCCGUAGGACUCCUUGGAAGUAGGCUCAAAAGCUGGUCUAGCUUCGAAAAUCAGCUUGCGAAGUUGAUGUUUCGAAGGUGUUAUGGUGCACUACGGUGCGGUUUAGAAGUAAUGGUUGGUUUGGUUCACGUGUCGCUUCUCCAACUUGUUGUUGGCGAUGGAUCUGUGUUGAAAGUUGGGACAAAGUACCCUAUCCCUUUUGGGAGUAUCAUGAUUGGGUCGAUGUAUCUUUUUGCGAGACAAUCUCUAUAGAAUGCCUUGUAGGAAAGCUAGAGUUGUGGCCAUCUUUGACCAGUGGUGAGACCUGUGUAAUUCCCAAACAGUACUUGUGUAGUUAAUCUAUAAGCACUGCAUAUAGUUGAUGUUUUGAUGUGGGCUUGGUCGCCUGCCAGCCUAGUAGCAGUGACUUGCACAACUGAGAGGUGUGUUAAGUAAGGCGAUCUCGGUCAUGCUACCGAAAGGUGUAAACUAUGUCCGACAUGUGACAUAAGCCUGGUUGUUAGCUCAGAAGCCGUCGUGCGCGACAACAUAUGAUGCGGCAUGGCUCAUCAUCAAUGUCAUGGUGAAGGAGUUGAUGAUUCGAUCAUGGGUGACAGGUGCCCCUGGGUCUUCUAAAGACCGAUGUUUUGUGUUGUUGAGGACAUCGAUCGCUAGGGUCUGAGGAUGGCAGCGACAAGGUCUCGUAGAUACAGAUGUUGGGUAGCUUGGUUAGGACUUCACAGUCUAGUGCGAUGUCUCACGGUUUGAAUUAGAAUACGUGCUCAUGCAGCAGGAUCGGAUCAUAGCCCAUGCAAUAUGUCACUCCCUGGGACGGCGUAUUUGGUCGGUUCGGGCGCGUGCACAGACCGCCUAAUGGACAAAGCCUCCCCUGUCUACCCAAGGCGAAACAACAAUAUGUAUAAAGAGUUUGCCCAAGAGAAACAACAAUAUACAUGAUUUGCACGAGGGCAAAUAUACAUCAGCGAGUGAGAGUAAUAACUAGCUAUUACAACCAAAUAACCAUACUUUAAUUACAUUAGCCAAAAUAUAACUUUUUUCAGUUGCCAUUACAUACAUUUUUCAUCUCUCAAAAUAUGUCCUCUACGAGUUCUCUGAUCAUAUACAAAUAGCAACAUAGGAUAGAACUAAGACAUGGAGGUCCUCUACCUAGGGCGCUAUGCCCUUUCAUGAUCCUCGACCGCUCCACUAGUGCUAGAAUCUGCAAAACAAUAGGGUGAGAACUAAAAAAAGUUUCCAGUGGGUUCGACCGCCGACCUCGCCGACUUUUUCAAUAGGUCUAAUCAGGCAUAAGUAGUAAAGAAAGGAAAUAUACUUGUGCUAUCAGUUGCAGUUGACGCAUAGUCAUUUCUCUAUCUUCCUUGUAGUAACAGUUAUUCAUACCAUUAUUAUGGUUGUUUCCAGUUCAAUUUUCAUGCUAUUACACUAGUUUGACUAUUGAUUAUAGUUGGUCGUCGCUUUAUUAUCUCGCUUUACAGUAGUAGCUUCUUUGGUGAUUAUCAGUGGAUAAUAUUUAUUGUUAUCAUACUCGAUUUACUUGUUACUAUUGUUGUUUUUCCCUCUAUUUGUCGGUGGGUACAGCUUGCCUUCGUCGGCUUGCAGUACCCACUGGAAGGGGGAGACUUGUUUACAUAUUCUCACCCCCCACAUUUUCAGGUGACGCGGGUGGGAUUGGCUGGGACGCAACGUGAGGCCGUAGUUAGUGGGCGGUCAUAAUGGUGUCGACCUACGGUAUACGUUCUUGAUUACUUCAUACUUAGCAUAGACAUACAUGUGAUAGUAUAGUUCACCCGUACACCAGAUAGUAGAUGAUACAUGUGGUUUGGUUGAUGUCUUAUACUUGCAGAUUUUUGGAUGAUGUUUUCAUGUGUUUUGGAUACUCAUGGUUUCAAUCAUUCGUGGUUUUUGAACACAUGCAGUUUUAGACUCGGAUUUCUAUCAAUGAUUUUCUACCCCUCGUGGUAGCAUUUUCAAAAUAAUGGUUUUCGUGUGGGAAACAUUUUUAAAUUAUUUUCUCGAGAUUUUUCGCAGAAUUAGAGCUUUAAAAUGGAAGUCUUCGUGUGGAAGACAUUUUCAACAUCUAUGAAUGAAUGUGAAAUUAAUGUGGAAUAGUAGUGACUAAGGAUGGCUAGCUGUAUGAUGUGAAACUUGUGGAAUGAUAAUCUUUGUUACUCGUGAUUAUUGUUUGUGUGAGUAGAGGUCAUGAUUUACAGUUGUACAUGUGCCACGCCGUGCAAAUAUAGGAAAGACGCUGUCCAUUUAUUUCGAAAAUCUCCUAUAUUUGUGGGGGGUCUGUUCCACCCUUAGGGGUCAAGGUUUUAAAUGAAACAAAAAAAGGGUAGUUUUUCGCUUACUCUAAUAUAUAAAGAUAGUCCGAUUUCGAAUCGGCUUUCAAAAAAGACCCUAGGGCGUGACACUUUAGCACGUUUAAGCUUCUCAACCUCUUGGGCCUAGCUGCUACCCAAAAUUCUAUAGUCGAGUGAAGAAUUUAAGCUUUAUUGUAUCUUAUAUAUAAGACUAUUCUAAAUCAUGGGGUGUCACAUCCUCCCUCUUUGCUUUUAAUUCCUUAUGUUCUCGUCAGGCUCAAGCACAUUCACAAACACCAGGUAAUGUGAGACACAUCUCCCUAGCCUCAGUCGACCUUGUGGGGGCCCACGCUCUGCCAACAACAGUUGUUAGCUGGCCGCGCUAUAAUCAUUGUAUAAUCUUAACUCAGUCGAGAUUUAUACCACACUUCCAACUGGUGAGUGACUCUGAUACCAACUAUAACGCCCUGCUACCCAGGGGGGUCACCCAUCCUAGAACUAUCUAGCUCUAGCAUGCUUAACCCUCUUAACCGCUUGGGCCUAUCGGCCUAGCCACCGCCCAAAAUGCUAUAGCCGAUCAAGAGGUUUAGCCCUAUUAUAUCUUGUAUAAUAGGGCUGUUCCAAAUCUUGGGGUGUCACAUUGAUUUGGAGUAAUUUCAAAAUUUUCUUUAGGUAAUGUAUUUUCUAUCUAUUUUUUAUAUAGCUUUUGAGAAAUUUUGGUAUGAGAAUUUUUGGAGAUUUUCAUCACUCAAAAAAAUAUCAUAGGGUUAAAAGAGAGGAUGGGACAACUUGGUUUAAGAAAUUAAAGGGUUUUGCCAACUAUCCAAUGGGUUCGACUUAAUCAAAUCGGUGAACUCUUUCUAUGACAUCAACUUCUUGAUUGAUCUUGAUUCCUUGAUGAACAAGACAUCAGAAACCCUCAUUGUUGGCAUGAAAUAUAGCAUUGUGAUUAUAUGCAUGUUGAUUGUAUGUUCUCUAAUUUAUGCAUUAUGUAACAUAUGUAAGUGUAGCUCUUGUGCAUGUUGAUAAACAUCUCUUUUCUAAAUAGCAUGUUGAUAGUCAAAAUAUUUACUCUUCAUGUUAAGAUAUGGACAUCUACUCAGCGUUGGUGUAUAUAUUCAAAAAAUAGAGGUUAGCUACAAAAUAAUAUAAAAAGUGUCGAUGAGUCAAUCAAGCCGAGGCACAAAAAUCUCGCUCUCUUUAAGGAGAUACAAGCCCUCUGCGGUUGGCAAAGUCUUUGAACCGAUGUAGCAGAGCACUGACUUGUCCCCUCUAUGAUACAACGGCUCGACCCUCAUUGUGUGGCUUCACCAACUCUGCACAAGUAGAUGAGCCGAAAGCUCUACCAAAAGAAAUAUUUUUCUGUGACCUUUUCUCUCUUACAAGUAUAAUAGAAGUAGGCUUUUAUUUUUCUUUUCGUUGUCCUUUUUUGAGUUGUGUUGUGUUAAAGUGAAUAGAGAAGCCCUCUUUAUAUAGGCUUCAAAAGAGUAAGAGUUACACGAUAUUAACUGCAAAAAUUAAGUGUUUAAGAGUUAAAAUCUAUGAUUACAAACAUGUAAUAAAUAGCAUCAAGAAGUAAAUAUACUUACGUUAACUUUCAUUUGAUGCAAGUAUAGUGUAACUUUACUUGCAUAGGUUAUCACAAUUAAAAUUUUCACAUUUAAUAAUAAAAAUGUUAUAACAUUCCCCUACUCAUUUUUAUUAUUAGACAUAUAUGAGAGUUUGAUGGCCAAAAAGGGACCGUUAUACAUAACAAAGGUGUGCUCUGCAUUAAACCUUAAUUUAGAGAAACAGUAAUCUCUACUCCAGAGCCAGAGUGGUAUCAAACUUGAACUUUGGCUGCUUAAGGAAAAUAGAGAGUCACUGCUCACAUAUAACAAUUUAGGUGUUGAUAUGAGCUUUAUUAGCUAGCACGUUACAGUCUUGUGCUGAUCCUGAUUUUCAUGAGCAUAUUUGAGAAUAAGCCCAUUCUCAUAGAAAGCGGCCUUACUUCCAUGCUCACAUAAGUGAAAUCCGUCAAAUGUGCUUCUGUAAUUUAACACCUUGUUCAUAAGAGCCACAAAUUUCAUUAAGAGUAAAAACUCAACCUUCUUUUUAUUACAGGAUGAAUGCACCCACAUUAUAGGGAUAGGUAAAGAUGUGAUCAUAUAAAUCUAUAUAUAUUGUGCAUUCUUUACGACCGCCACAUGAUUCAUUUUUUCCAUUGAACCCAAUUUUCAGGAUCUCUGAUCAUUGGGUUGGGGAUCCUCAUACGUGGUUCAUGCUGUUAUAGGCUUCAACCCUAUCCUCCUUAAUAUGCUCCAGAUUCUUUCUCUUUCGAAGGCCUUGGUUAAUGGAUCUGCCAAAUUAUCAAUAGAUUUAAUAUAAUCUAUACUGACAAUUCCAUUAUCCAUAUAUGAUCUCACAGCUGUACUAUGUUUUCUUCUCACGGAUAUGGAUUUACCGUUAUAAUAACAGUUUCUUACUCUACCAAUAGCAGCAGUGCUAUCACAAUGUAUUAACACAUAUGGAACUGAUUUUUCCACAAAUAGAAUCUCAGACAAUAAGUCUCUCAACCAACAAGCUUCCUCGCUAUCUGAAGCUAAGGCAAUAAGCUCGACUUCCAUAGUUAAGUUAGCAAGAAUAGUUUGCUUUUUAGAUUUCCAGCAUAUAGCACUACUUGCUAAGGUAAAAAUAUAACCAGUGGUAGAGAGAGAAUCACCUGAUAGGGUAUUCCAGUCAGCAUCACUGUAACCCUCAAUUACAGCUGGAUACUUCCUAUAAAACAAGCUAUAAGUUUUGGUACCAACGAGAUAUCUCAUCACACGUUUCAUAGCAUACAAUGCUCUGUACCUGGCUUGCUUGUAAAUCUACUAAGUAUCCCUACUGCAUAUACAAUAUCAAGUAUCAUACAAUCAGUCGCAAACCGCAAGCUUCCAAUCACACUAGCAUAUUCCUUUUGAUUCAAAUUUCAUUUUCACUUCUAAUAAGAAAUAAGUGAACACUCGAAUCAAAAGGUGUUGUCACAUGCUUGCAAUUAAAAAAGUUGUACUUUCUUAAAAUUUUCUCAACAUAAUACGACUAAUCAAGAAAGAUCUCAUAUGCUGUUUUGGUAAUUUUUAUACCCAAAAUAAAGUUAGCCUCACCAAGAUCCUUCAUUUCAAAAUAAUGACUUAGCAUAUUUUUUGUCUCAUUGAUAUAUUUAAAUUAGAGCCAAAAAUUUACAAAUCAUCCACAUAAAGGCUAACAAUAAUAUGCAACUUUUUAAAAGUUUUGUAAUAGAUGCACUUGUUGCACGCAUUUAAUUUAAAGUCAUUCUCAAUCAUACAAAAAUAAAAAUUUUCAUGCCAUUGUCUGGAUGCCUGCUUUAAGCCAUAAAGGGCUUUAUUUAGCUUGCAUAUUUUAUUUUCUUAUCCAGCCUUAAUGAACCCCUCAGGCUGGUCCAAAUAAAUUUCUUCAUCUAGAUCAUCAUUCAUAAAGGCAGUUCUUACAUUCAUAUGAUGAAUUUGUAUGUCAUGAAUUGCAGCAAUAGCAAUUAGAACUCUGAUGGAUGUUACUCUAGUAACCGGAGAAAAGGUAUCAAAGAAGUCUAGAUCGUUUUUUUGUUUAUAACCUUUUGCGACAAGUCUAGCAUUAUACUUGUCUACAUUCCCAUUCGGUUUCCACUUCUUUCUGAGGACCCAUUUACAACCAAUUGUUGUACAGUCUAGAGGUAAAUCCACUAAUUUUCAUAUUUUAUUAGAAAUUAGGAAUUCCAUCUUAUCAAAUACAGUCUCUUUCCAGAAAAUUGCAUCAUUUGAAGAUAAAGCUUUUUGUAAAGAAAGUAGAUUUUCUUCAAUAUUUAGAACAUAAUCAGGGCCAAAAAAAAAUUUUCUAUUCUGUUUCGUUUGUUUCUUCUAGGUUCAAAAACAUAUUGUUUUUUAUUUUGUAAAAAUGAGUUUGAAAAACUUAGUUUAUUUGAAAUACUUUUAAAAUCUUGACCCCCACUAUUUUUCGAUGUAUAAGGAAACUUUUCUUCAUGAAAAAUAGUAUCUUUUUAUUCAAAAAUCACAUUAUUUUCAAUGUCUAAAAAUUUAUAGACUGUACUGUUCAAAGCAUAUCUAAGAAAUAUACAAGUGGCAGCUCUAACACCCAAUUUGCGUCUUUUAGGGUCUAGUAGCCUCACAUAUGCUAGACAACUCAACACUUUAAAAUAUUUCAAAUUUGGCUUAUACCCUUUUCACAAUUCAAAAGGUGUCACCUUAGACUUCUUAUGUGGUACGCGAUUCAAGAUAUAACAUGCAAUUAAAAUGGUUUCACUCCAAAGAUUUAAGGGUACACUAUCAUAGUAUUUGUUAGCUCAAUAAGUGUUAUAUUUUUUCUCUCAGCUACUCGCCAUUAGAGGAAGGCGAAUAUAGAGCAGUAGUCUCGUAGAUAAUUCCUAAAGACUGAACAAAAGAGUUGAAUCCCAUAGAUUUAUACUCACAACCUCGAUCACUUCUAAUUCCUUUUAUCUUUUUACGGAAUUGAUUUUCUACUUAAUGAAGGAAAUCUUUAAAUUUGUCAAAAGCAUCACUUUUAUUUUUUAAUAAAUAGACAUAAGUAUAUUUAGAAAAAUUAUCGAUAAAAGCGAUAAAAUAUCUAUUUCCUCCAUGAGGUAGAGUACCUUCAAAUUCACAAAUAUCAUUGUUAAUUACCUCAAGUAAUUUGGUACUUCUUUCAAUACUCUUAUCAUGUCAUUUAGUGAUUUUUGACUUACUAUAUAUUUCACAUUUAUCAAAAUCACUAUUCAGUAUGAAAAUUAUUCUAAACUACUCAUCAAGCUAACAUAUCUAUUGUUAAUAUGACACAAACGAGCAUGUCAAAAAUUCACAAAAGAAAAUAUGUAAGCAGAAGUAGAUGAUGCUUUAUUCUCAAUAUUUAGUUUAAACAUUCCAUCGCAUACAUAACCUUUAUCUACAAACUUUCCAUUCUUGAAAAUCACAUACUAAUCAUACUCGAUGGUCUAUUUGAAGCCAGCUUUAUUAAGAAGAAAACUUGACAUCAAGUUCUUCCUAAUCGUGGGUGUAUACAACAUAUCUUUCAAGAUAAGCACCCUUCCAGAAGAAAAUUUUAAUUCGACCUCACAACUUCCUAAAACUUUAGAAGUAUGUGAAUCACCAAGUAUAAUACUUCUUAGUUGUUCAUAAAGAGUAUAUGUUUUAAACCAAGUUUUAUCGUACAGACAUGCCUGUUGGCACCAGAGUCUGCCCACCAUCCUUCAGCAUUCUCCACUAAGCAUAUGUCUAUUAUCAUCGCCACAAGUGGCUCCUCGAUAACAUUAGCUUGAGGUAAAGUUUUAUGUUUCUGGUAUUUGCAAAUUCGAGCAAUAUGCCCACUUUUGCCACAGACAUAGCAAACUAUAUUUUUCAUAUAAGAAGUAGGUCCUUGGUUAUUUUUUAUAAAUUGAGGUCUACUACUAUUCUUUCCAAUUUUCUUCUUAGGUUUCAAGUAUGUAUUUCUAGAACGAUUGUUAUUAGGUAAAGAAUUAGAAGAUACUAAGUUUACCUUAAUAGCACUAGCAUUAUUCUCUUUUACUUCAAGUGCAUCUUGAUCUCUUGCCUCUUCUUCCACGCGAAUGCGCGCAAUUAAUGUCUUGAGAGACAUCUCUUUUUGCUUGUGCCGAAGGGUUGUUUGGAAUUCCCUCCAUGAUGGUGGUAGCUUGUCGAUGAUCCUCAGUAUGAUCAAGUUAUCUCCAAAAUGACUCAUUUAUAUUGAACUUCAUGGGCGAUCAUCUAAAAGUCUUGAACUUGCUCCACCACAGACUUUCCUUCGACCAUCUGGUAGCGGAAGAAGCGACUAGCAGCAUACUUCUUUGCACCACCUUGCUCUAUAUCAUACGUAAGCUGCAAUGCCUUCCAAAUCUUCUUUGCAAAGGAGUAAGUAUUUUCACAAUAAUCAUAAAAUUCAUCUGCAAGGCAGUUGAGAAGAUAAUACCGACAAUUGUACUCAUACUUCUCAUAUUUUUCAGUCUUCUCGUAGUGUUCGAGAAAUUCGUCUUCGUUUAUAUCGUCAGUACUUGUUUUCUUCGGGUUCUUCUCCGCGAGGACAUAUGCAACUUUAAGUAAAUUAAGGUAGAAUGACACUUUUCCUUUCCACCUCUUUAAGUGGUUUCCAUUGAAGCGGAAGGGCCUGUUGAGAUCUCCGACAGUAUCCUUGAACUUUUCGCAUGUAGCCUCCAUUAUUGAAUCUCCUUAAAAUUGUUGGUGUAUGUAUUCAAAAAAUAGAGGUUAGCUAUAAAAUAAUAUAAAAAGUGUCGACGAGUUAAUCAAACCGAGGCACGAAAAUCACGCUCUCUUUAAGGAGAUUCAAGCCCUCUACGGUUGGCAAAGUCUUUGAACCAUGCACUAGAGCACUGACUUGUCCCCUCUAGGAUACAACGGCUUGACCCUCGUCGUGUGGCUUCACCAACUGAGCUAGCCCAAAGCUCUACCAAAAGAAACAUUUUUUUUUUUUUUACCUUUUCUCUCUCACAAGUAUAAUAGAAGUAGGCUUUUAUUUUUCUUUUCGUUGUCCUUUUUUGAGUUGUGUUGUGUUAAAGUGAAUAGAGAAGCCUCUUUAUAUAGGCUUCAAAAGAGUAGGGGUUACACGAUAUUAACUACAACAAUUAUGUGUUUAAGAAUUAAAAUCUAUGGUUACAAACAUGUAGUAAAUAGCAUUAAGAAGUAAAUAUAUGUACAUUAACUUUCAUUUGAUGCAAGUAUAUAUAGUGUAACUUUACUUGCAUAGGUUAUCGCAAUUAAAAUUUUCACAUUUAAUAAUAAAAAUAAAAAUGUUACAACAAUUAGUAAUAUUUGAUUUUUUUUUUCUAUUCUCUAUAUCAUAUUAGUCAAAUUGAGAUAAAAGAAUUUCUUACUAGAUUUGGACAUAUAUUGAGAUUACUUGUUCACACAAUCUAUAAAUGACAUGUUGAGAUAUAGUAUUAAAAUGAAGAAACUUUUAUUUACCUUGGGUUAAGUAUCUGGGAUUGGUGGCUUUGAGUAUUAUGCAUGAGACUAAAGUUUGCAAAAGCCAAAUUGAACUCAACUAACACAUUACUUGUAAAGGUCACUCCAUACAAACUAUGGCACCUCAGAGGUUAGCCAUUGCGGGCAGGCUCGCAGUUGCUUUUUGAGCGCCGAUUGAGUGACUGCUGUAAGGUACAACUCUCCUUUAUGGGGGCCUAAACAUGGUUCAUAAGGCACAGCGCAAGCUCGAAUGGUACUCUGUGUAGGUCCUCCAGAGAUUGGGUAAGUAUUGAUAUUGGGCUAUUUUAAACCAAAUUGAUGCAUGGUUGAAAGUUAAGACAAAAUUCCUUCUACUUCAUGUAGUAUACAGAUAUAGUACGUAGUAUUAUACCAUUCUUAUGAUUAUCUUAAACUAUAUCUAGUUUCUCUUACUACUGAUGCCUUAGUUCACUUAGUGGCGUAGCGCGCCCUUUUCGGUGGCGGUACUCAUUAAGAAUUAUAUUUUAUAGUUCUCAUGCCCAUAGUUUAGUAUUUUUCUUUCAAUACUCUUCAGGUACUUGGAAAGCCUUGGAUAGUAAAAAGAGAGUUGUGUAAUAGCUAGAGCUCUUUCACCUAUUUGGAAUGAGUAGAGAUUGACCCUUGUAUUUUGGGGAGCUAUACAAUGUACUAAUUAUGGUUAUAGCUAUGUAUUAACUUGAGAGUUGAUGAGAAAAAUUAUAUAACUAUUUUGGACGUGAUGUAUGGAUGUAAACUAUUUCUACUUUAGUAGUAGUUGAUAUUUAUGCUCUGGAUACUUAUCAAUAAGAAUUUCAUCUUUUGUAUAAAAGUAGUUUAAAUUGGAUGUUAUUCACGCUUCGUGUGCAUGAGAGCGUCUUUGGGCGCGUGGGGUAUCUAUGCACAUGCCCGGAUUAGACUUCUGUUGUGGCCCGAGGUGUGACAAUGGAUCCCAUCCUUUUUGUGCCUGAGGAAACUUGAUAGAAAGAAUCUAUCUAGAUACAAAACAUCAAAACUGAUACAUUGGGCUGGCUAACAUGAUUCUUGGCGGUUUUCUGAAGACAAAAGUGUAUUAUAUUUGAAAAAAAAAUGCAAGCUAAGAUGCAAAAGAGAUGAUCUACAUAGAAAAAGACUUAGAAUUUUAAAAAACAACAACAUUUCAUGCCUUCCAUAUCGCCCGUGAUGUAGAUUCAGCAAGUGCUCUAUCUUCACGAAGUGGAAAAUCAUAGAUUCCUAUGUGAAUAUGCGUACAAACAAGAUUUUAAAUGCCCGUCGGUACGGGUCGUAUCCACCGUGCCGCACCGUGCCAACAAGAUACCGGCACGAUACAGACCCCAUGUCGAUGACACAGCUCAAAACCCUCUAUUCUUUAAAUUAGUAAGUAAUUUUCUCAAUAAAGUUCAAAAGAUGUGAUAAAAAGACAUAAUAAAUAGUUAGAAUAUUUUGUUGCUAAAGAAAAUAAAUAUUUCAUACUAUUAUGUGUCGGCACACAAGAAUUUUUUUUAACCGGCACGCAUCGGCACGACUCAGCACGCAUCGUGCAGUACCGUAACGGCAAGUUUCCGGCACGAUCUCGUACCGCAGCACUUAAAUCCUUGCGUACAAACAUGUUCAACGUUGGAUGUCUAUUCAAUAGAAAGUCUUGGCCUAAACCACACUUGUAAAGUUACAUGUGAAAAUAGAUGAAAAUCGGAUUCUAAACAUUUCUUACACAUUGGAUUGGUUGGCAGGACUAGGGAAGCCGGCCGGAUCGUUAACUUAGUGCGUCAUUUAAAUAACGUAACAGCAAUAAAGUACCGUACAAAACUUUGAAUUCGAGGCAUGAAAGUGGAAGCCUCCGUAUAAGCUGCAAGAAAGUUUUUAUGGAGCACAGUAUCGGACGAUGAUUACCUGAAAUAUUCCAACAUGAUGUGCCGAUGGCUGAGAAUAAGAAUUUAUCUAAGGAAAGAGGUGGAUACAUGGACGGAUGGAUGGAACAGUGAAAUGGUGGUCAACGGGGCUGAUGAUAUGGUGAAACAGGACCAGGCAACGGACAACGGCUCCAACUGUUUUCACCCACCUGUACAAUUCCGAACAGUCUGGCUAGUUCCAAAAUUCGCUCCCAGUCCGAAGAUGGAAGCCUCGGUCCGACUGCUCGCCUCCACGGCCGCCCUCCGUCGCCCCAUCCCCCUCCCUCCUCCACCCGUCCUCCGCUCCAUCUCCCUCCCAAACCCUAAUCCUAAAUCCCUCUCCCACCUCCCCUUCUCCAAAUCCACCCAACGACACUUCCCCUUCCCCUUCCCCUUCCCCUCCUCUCCUUCUUCCUCUCCCUCUCCCCGCUCCCACCCCUUCUCCCCCCUCUCCCUCUCCCUCUCCCUCUCCCUCUCCUCCCUCGAACCCGCCCAUGGCUCUUCCCAAUGGGGCCUCCUCCCCGAUGGUUCCCCACAGGGGCACGAUCUAGGGUUCGGCGGCGACAGAGGCGCGACCUUUACAGUGGUCCUCCUCGGGUGGCUCGGCGCGGAGCAGAGGCAUUUGAGGAAGUACGCGGAGAUCUACAAUGCCAGGGGGAUCCGGUCGGUGCAGCUCGUGGUUCCGGUCAGGGAGGUGCUAGGGUUUGAUCUGGGCCGGAGGAUCGAGGAGAGGAUCGGAAGGUUCGCGAGGGAGAUCGCAGAUUGGUGCGCGGAGAAGGACGGGGACGGGAGAGAGCGGUACCUGAUAUUUCACACCUUCAGCAACACCGGGUGGCUCACGUAGGUGCUCUUCGAUCGAUUUACUUUUGUCUUUUUUGUUUUAUUAGGGAUUUGUUUGCAUAAUGCAGUGAGGAGCUGUGGCCGCUUUGUCGAAGAAGUGUUUGAUAUAAUGCUCAAAUGGGGUGAAUUUUUUAUCGGUUAGAAAGAAAUAUUAAUUUUACUAACGUAGGUGCUCUUCAAUCACAUAGGAUUUCCAUCUUCUUUUUUUUUUUACUUCUUCUAUGUCCAUGUGUCUUUGUGAUCUUAAAGGUUUUAAUUGUAUAGAUAUGAUUGCACCAAGUAGUGAGUUUUGAAAUGAGUGAAGGCAUGCUUUGUUGUUGUUUUGUUGGCUUAGAAUUUUUUGAUAAAAUGCUUAUUCAGUGUUUGAAAAGGCACACCUCAGCGCCGUAGAGAAUGAGGUGCGCGCUUCAGACAUGCCUCCUGAUAUUUACAUUUAAUAUGUCUAGAAUUUGGGUUUUCAAGUCUUGGGUUUUUCAAUAUAUUAUAAAAUAUUAAGAAACUGAAAAAAAAAACUUCCUAAUUUAAACAGUUUUUUUUUUCCUUUUUCUCUUGGUCAUUCUCUCUUCCACCCCCAAUGGUAACAAGCAGCGGCAAGAAGCAAGAAGUAAGCACUUUUAAAUUGAAAGUUAAAUUUUUUUUAAGAACAUUUAUAUAUGUGAUUUUUUUGCUUUUUUAUAAUUAUUUUAUUUUUGUAUGGCUAUUUUGAAAUUUUGUUUAUGUAAAACAUCCAUUUAAACUAGGCUUGGUAAGAGUAUUUAAGUUUUAUUAAAUGUGCGCCUCACCUUCUUGAAGCGCGCACCUCGCGCCUAGUAUUUAGAAGGCCUUUGUACCUUUUUGCGCCUCAUGCUAUUUCAAACAUUGAUGCUUAAAUGGGAUGGAUUCCUGCCCUUAAAGAUUAAUUUAGAUGAAAGCCAGAUAUUGAAAAAUUUGGAAGUAGUUUAGAUUACUAAAUUACAAUCAAGGACUUAGUGUUAGAUACCUAUAAACUGACCUUGGGGAGAGGGAAAUAGAUGCAAAUAGGAUAUCAAAAGAGUACGGUAUUCAAAAGAAAGUAAUCUAUUUCAGAACUCGUGCUGGCAAAUAUAUUGCAUAUCCGGCGAGAGUAUCAAGUUUGCUUUCUCGGUUGAGGCUUUCAAAUGUAACUUAGUAGUUUAUAGACUGUUUCAACAAAAUAAUUUCAAAGGCAUGCUUAAUAAAUUAGCAUACUUUUAUCUAACCUAGGCUGAUUAUCGUUCCAUAAUUAUCACUUCACUCAUUAGCUACCAAAAAUUCCUUAUUUAUCUUAGACAUACCCAACUCCUUUAUAUAAGUUGCAGCAUUACAUGCACAAAUUUUCUCAUUCUCUCUCUAUUUGGCUUGCGGCUCCUUUGGAGCUUCUAUUGUUGUGAAAGCAUCAAACUAAUAUCCUAAUCCAAUCCACCUUUUUCCCCUGGCUAAUCCACUCCACUCCCAGAAGUCACCGCAUAUCAUAUACGUGCUGUGGAAGGUUUUCUGAACUGCAUAUUUUACCGCAUUGGUAGCAACAAAUACCGCUUUUUAGAACACUAACUUCUAAUGGAUAAUGUAAAGUAAUAUAGCAUUGAUAGGUUAACUUUUUUUUUUUUCUUUGUUGAUUCUUUGUUGACUUACUCCAGGAAAAUCCAUCAAAUUAAGCUGCCUUUCAACUUCGUAUUGUAAUGAAGCUGGACAAAACUACUUGCUUUCUUAUUUGGUGUCACUAAUUCUCAAUUUUAGUUUAUACAGCAAGAAAAAGGUGGUUAGCAGCUAAAUCAAUUUAGCACCAAUUAAAUUUUCUAAUGUUUCACACUUCAAUUAAGAUCUUCAGGUAGUUUAAACAACUUUUUGUCAGAAGAAAAGUCUAACACGGAAACAUAGAGUAGAAAUUUGAAUUACCAUUGUGCGUGGACGAAGGAUACUAGGAUUAUAUACCUUUCAGAAAAUGAUAAAUUGGAUCUUUUGUACGUUCAUAAUGUGAUGAAGAUGAAUUAAAAGGUUAAAGGUUAAAAGUAGGAUAGUAGGUUUCGUAUUUUUGGGUUGAUGGGCAGUCUCCUAGCAUUUUUACAUGCUGUUUCCCUGAUGACCAUAUAAAGGUGCUUAAAUUACAAGAGGGUCACGAAACAAGCCUAAGAAGGCCUAGCAAUCAAUUCAUAACUUAUUAGCAGUUACUGCUGAAGUUAGUCUUGGCACUUACAGGAUAAGUAAUUGUGAGAAAAGAGGUUUUUGUCAUUCCAUACCAGAAUGACAAGUUGCUGCCUAGAUGUCUUGAGCAUUAUAAUUUGUUCUCCCAAUGGGAUCAGCUUUUCGAACAAUCUUCCCCAAAAAGUUAGUUCCUUCUGAGAGUAUACACGAAAAUUCAGUUUUUGGAGGGUAAGUAUUCUCUUGAGUAAUUGUUUGAAGCACCUUUUAUAAACUCGUUCCAAUAAAAAUUGCUUUAAGAAUCGUCAUAUAGAAAAGCUAUUGCUUAUGAGUUUAAACAUAAUAAGAAGCUCUCUUAAUUUGGUAGAUAUAAUCAAUGAACUGUGGCAAUUUCUCUUCCUGACCAUUAAAGCUGCUCAAAUACUUAAUGGAGAACAUUUUCUUUCCUGUCUUUCCUUCCAUUAAUUGUGUAUCUUUAUAUGUGCUCACUAUUGUACUUAGGAACUAGGCCGGAAUACCAUCAAUAGCACCAAGUUAUUGGUGCUAUUAGUUUUUUAGCCCUUGGAUUAAGAAAUGUGCGGUUAGGAUGAUGUGGGCCCCCUAGGGUUGAGUAAGUAGUUGGUUGAACAGUAUAAUCUAACGGGUAAAAAUAAUCAUAGGGGUUAAUCUAACGGCAGAAAACUUGCUAGCACCAAGUGUUUGGUGCUAUCGAUAGCAUAGCAGCCGGACUCUUGUACUUAGUUUUUUUGUUGCUUAAGAAUAUUUUUAUGGUGGAUCUCCAGUUAUGGUGUCAUACUUGACAACCUGCAGCAGUCAAGGGCUGAUAUUCUUGAGAAGAUUAAAGGAUGUAUUGUUGACUCUGGAGCUGCAGCAGAGAUAAGCCCUCAGGUUAUUUAUAAUACUUGAAUUUAUACUUUCGCAUGUUUGUUUCGAGUUUUUUUGGGUUGAAACAUAAGAGAGUAAUAUUACAAUAAAUAUAAGCGGGAAUUCUGAUUCAACACAUUAAAAAUCCUAUUAAAAUAUCUUCACAAGGCCAAAAGUUGCUUUGCUGCCUUUUCCUUUAGAAAAUAGGACCGAAAUUUGUCCCUAUAGUAAUCACAACUGCCAGUAGCUACCACAUGUAACUAAAUUUUAUUUUCUGCACAAAUUUUAGUGCUACUAGACUAGUGUUAAGGUUUUUCAAAAUUUAGAUUUCUUUUUUUGGCUGUUUAAAUUUCUUUAAAUUGGGUUUUACAGUUUAACUUGCUAGUAGAAAACUAAAAAUAUCCUAGAAAUUUCUCAUGUUAUUUAUGGAUUCAGGUCUGGGCUGCAGGAUUUUGUGCUGCCCUGUUGAAGAAGCGCAGUUCUUUGACGUAUUCUUCAGGUGAAGCAUUUGAAGGAUCUAAACAGGACGUUAGUUUACACAAAUUGAACGAUGAAAGCAUCAGACCCUCAUUGGGUGAAAUUAUCAUCUUCUCACUUCUACUGAAGUUUUUCAAUAUAGUUCUGAGUCUUCCUGAUGUAAACCGGUAAGUCAUCCAUUCCUUUAUGCUGUGUUCCCAAGCAUGCUUGUAUGUUUAUUCUCACCUGAGAUAACAAUAACGUUCAUGCUUUUGCAAACUAACCCAUGAAAACUUAUAGUUUAUACACUCUCAUUGUAUGUUCAUAUAUGGUGCAAUUUACCCCAUCAAACUUGCAUAUGUUGGUUUCCUUAUGAUAUCAUGUCACAUGUCUGUCAUGUAUUUCAGCAUGAAUGGUUGGUCUUGGUAUUUUGAAGGUUUUACAUUUACUCCCAAUAACACCCUAAUUUUUAUUUUUUCUGCAUUGAGAGUAAUAGACUAACAGUACUGUUCCUUUUUGUUGCCAAGUGAGAGACUUGUGACAAGAACUAUCAGGAAACAAAUGUAUGUUCAGAUGGAACGGUUGGUUGCACCAUUAAACGAAAUUGAAGGGUACCGAUUUCAAAAGUUAGGUUUAUUGCCUGUUCGCAAGAUCUUGAAAGUGCAAGAGGUGUCAAUACCUUUAUUCGUCCGUAAUUCAAUCGCACUUCAUAGUCUUAUCUUAGACAUACAUUUGAAGUGCCCAAAAUCUUGCCCUUGUUCAUAACAAGAUAGACUUGUCAUACUUUUCUUACCAACUUUUGAGUCAGUACUCAAACUCUUGACCUUGCAGAUUUUUUUGCAAUUUUUCGAACUUCUGACAGGAACUUUUACCUUCAACCUGAAUGGUAAUGUUUGACUAUUGCUUUGACAGGAGAUUGAGCAAGGUUAUAUCCGUUCUUUCGAAAAAUCAGCCCUCUUGGCCUCAGCUUUAUCUUUACAGUUUUGCAGAUAGGGUAAUACCUGCUGAAUCUGUUGAAAACUUUAUCAAGGAGCAGAAGACAUUAGGCAGAGAUGUUUAUGCCUACAAUUUUGGUUCGUCGCCACAUGUCGACCACUUCAGGAGCUUUCCUCAAUUGUAUACUGCUAAAAUUGAUGAAUUCCUUAAAAUUUGUAGCUCGGUAACAGUUUGAUCUUGUUUUUGAUUAAAGGUAUGCUUUCUUUUGUUCUUCUCACCAUUUCAUUUCAAUAGAACUACUAAUUUAGGCAGGAGCUUGACAUAUAAUUACUUAAGUCCUUUUUUUUCUUUUUUAUUUUUUCUGUUUUUUGAUUAUUAGAUAGAUUACUAGCUUGUCAUAGAAAUGCAAAGAUGAUUGCUCCUUAAGCGCCUGUUAAUAACCUCCGAAAGAAGAUCUGAAAAUUGUGUGUCAACUGGUUUUCAAUCACACUUCGCAUCGGAAACAUGUUAGCGAAUCGUUAUUGGAAGAAGCAGUUGCAACUUGUUCACAAAUUAUUUUUAGAAUCCUAGUUAUAGCAGAAGCAGAAGCAGAAGCAGAAGCAGAAGCUUCGAAUUGCAACAUUUUUCUUUUUUUUCCCUCUGAUCCAAAAGUUCAUUUUGGUGUUCGAAGAUAGUUGUUUCAAUGAGGGCAUUAAGCCUCAAAACUCUUUUAUGUCAAUUUGAUAACUUUGUUACUUUAUCUAAUUUAUGACAAAUGGAUGAUGGAAUAGCUGAUUAAGUUGCCACGAGAUAACUUAGCAAUGAUUUGCCUGUUCAUUUAGCUUCACACAAUCUUAACUAUAUAAUUGUUCAAAUAUCAUAUUAUCUCAAGAUGUAGGUCUUUCUGAGAAGAUGUGGUAAAAAUUAGCUGCUACUUUUUUUUGGUAGAAAAGAAUUUACGAAGUAUAAGAAAGCGAUCUGUCUAAGACAAAUAAUUUCUUAAUUGAAAUACAUUAUUCUUGAGAUAAUCAUAGUGUGCGUGUAAGGCGAUUCAAUUUAAAUUUUGAGAUGGGGUUCUUCUUGCUUAAUUUUAGUUUUACUCUAUGAUGUUUAAAUGUUUGAGUUGGAGCUACAACUUAAGGAUGCUCCGACCACCCUCGCUCUUUCCGUCUGAGGCGAGGGUUUCAAUUUGUGUAUUGGAGUGUGUUUUGAUGCAAAAGAGGGGAGUUGUUGCCUAUGCCUUUUGGCCAGCAACAUGCCUACGCAUGACUUACGAGUCGGAACCAUGGUGUUUGCCUUGAAGUUGUCUGAGUCAUUACCUCUAUAACUAGCGCUGCGAGCUCUACAUCGAUCACAAAAUCUUGAAAUAGUUGCGAGCUCUACAUCGAUCACAAAAUCUUGAAAUAUUUGUUUACGCAGAAGAAGCUCAAUUUAUGAUAGUGGCAGUGGUUACAGCUGAUCAAGGACUAUGACUAGGGAUGCAAAUGGAUCCGGGCUGGUGGAGCUCCCGCCCCGAUCCGCCCCGAAUGGGGCAGUAAACGGAAGGAAAUAAACGGAUUCAGGACAGAAAACGGGGCAAUUUUUAUCCUACUCCGAAUCUGUCUCGCCAUGAUCCGCCCAUGAUCCGCCCCAAAAAUUAUUUAUAUAUUUUUUAAAAUAUCCCUGAAAACUAAUAUAUUUACAAAAAAUCUAACUAUAUUUAGCAGCUUAGCUUUUAUUUUGCAAAAUCCUAAUAAAAUGUCUCACAAGUCACAAUCCUAGAACCCCUCCACCAGGACCACCCCAACUCCUCCCCCAACACGACCGACCGCAGCCCAUUUUCUCCCCUCCGCCGGCCGCCACCCAUUUUCUCCCCUCGCCUGCGCCGCCCCCCUUUCCCUCGCCUAGUCGCCUCCCCCAACACGACCAGCCGCCACCCCUUUCCGUCGCCUCCACCGGCUGCCGCCCUUUCCUCGCCUCCCGACAGGCCGCCUUUCCCUCGCCUCGCGUCGGCCGCCCCCCUUUCCUCGCCUCCGAGCGGCCGCUGCCGCUUUCCCUCGCCUCCGCUGCCGCCGUCUUCCGCCUCGCCUCCAUUCCCUUCUUUGCUCCGUCUACUAGCAGUACCAUACCCUCAACGGCUUACACACGCGUAUUUUGGUGGGCGGAUUCGGGGCGUCGGCAAAGGCGGGGUUAUGAGCGGGGCGGAUUAUGAAGAUAACUAUUUUCAUCCGUCACGGAUUUCGGGGGCGGGAGGGCGACUUUUUGUAGUCGGGGUGGGAGGUGGGGCGGGGCUCCCGCCCCCAAAUCCGCAAACAGCCCCGCCCCCAAAUCCGCCCUGUUUGCAUUCCUAACUAUGACUUGACAAUUAUUUCCUUGUAGCAAAAGCAAACGUGGUGGUCAACAAACUUUUAAGUCGGAAGUCCACUAUCAACUUCACGAUAUGGUCACGACACAAUUGAUUUUGAUUAAGAGGAUGUAGCCGCUCGACUCUGAUAUCAUGGCGUUGGGCGCCAUGUUAGUAAAUUCGCGAAUUAUUCGCGAAUUUUUGAAAAAACGAAUUAAAUGAUCAAAUUCGUAUUUUUCCCAAAAAUUCGGAAAAAAACGCGAUUCUUUUGAUAAAAAAACGUAUUCGCGUAUUAUACGCGAGCCGAAUAAUUCGGAGCGAAAAAAAACGUGGCCCGCGUUGCGCUCUCACGCCGUGCACGCGCCCGCGAGGCCCGCAAGGCCUGCGCGGCCUGCGAGGCCCGCACCCGCCUACGAGGCCGAUGAGGCCUGCGAGGCCCGUGCGUGAGGCCAGCGCAUGCCUCGAACGCCUCGAGCACCCGUACGUAGGGAUGCAAACGGGGCGGAUCUGGGGGCGGGAGCCCCGCCCCGCCUCCCGCCCCUACUAGNUUAGGUUCCGCCUAAGCCCCGUCCUUUGCCCUUUUAAAAACUAGGCGGGGCUUAGGCGGGGCGGUACUAGGCGAGGCUUAGGCGGGACUUACAUAUAGAAAUUUUAAAAAGGUAUACCUACAUAAUUUUAAAAACUUAAAAUAACGCUCAACACUAACUAUAAAAACUAAAAAUAUCAACUAUAAUAAUUAAUAUAUAUUGAACUAUUAUAAUAGUUAAUUAUAAAUUUUAAAACAACUAAAUCUAAAUAUUUUAUAAUUAUUAUAAUAUUAAAUAUUUUGUUUAUAAUAAAUAGUCAAAGUAUGUAAAAGAAUUGAAAAAUAAUCGUAAUUGGAUAAGAGAGUUUUAUUCCUCCCAUACGGUACAGACGAGUACGAUAACUCGAAAGUAUAUCAAAAUAUCUAUUACGACGUAUUAUUAUACGCACCUUGGGCUGGGAAUAAACCAAAGAUUAUUUACAGUUUGGGAAAAAUACACUGUAGAUUUAAACCAUUUUGUUUAACAACAAGGAAAACAAAAAAAAUAAAAAAAAUAAAAAAAAACCCUUUUGAAAUUCUUGGGAAGGACACCAAAGCGUGAAAAAGUAAAAUCAUGGGACACCAAAUUUCACAUAGUUCAAUCAUGGUACAUCAAAGUGUAAAAGAGUGAAAUCAUGGUACACCAAAUUAUAAAGAAAUUCUCUUUUUAUUUUGGUGUCCCAUGAUUGAACUAUGUUUUUAUUUUGAUGUACCAUGAUUGAACUAUGUUUUUAUUUUGGUAUCUCAUGAUUGAACUAUGUUUUUAUUUUGAUGUACCAUAAUUGAACUAUGUUUUUAUUUUGGUGUCUCAUGAUUGAACUAUGUGAAAUUUGGUGUCCCAUGAUUUCACUUUUUCACGCUUUGGUGUACCAUGAUUGAACUAUGUGCAAUUUGGUUUCCCAUGAUUUUACUUUUUCAUACUUUGGUGUACCUCCCAAAAAUUUCAAAAGGAAAAAAAAAAUUUCUUUACAUCGUACGAUGGGCGAAGUAAAUCCUUAUUUAAAUCGACCUUUACACUUAAUUGAUCCUAAGCUUGAACUCAGAGCCCAUGGUUAAUGGCUUGGGAAAACAGUAAAUGCGAUCUCUGACAGCCAACAACAAGGAAAACAAUCUGGACGACUAAAUCAGCGAAGGAAAAGAUGCUUCUUGUUGAGUUUUAAAACUCAAAUAAAAUAAACAUAAAUAAUAAAUUAAAUUAAUUAAAUAAAUAAAUAAAUAAAGCCGCGCUUUCUUUUAGGUUGCUCUCAAGAGGUUAAAACAAAGAACGCGGAUUGCUCUCUCUUUCACCCAACUUGCAAUCUUUUGCGAGCUAAAAGAGUAGGGAAUGCAUAAAAGGAGAAGACAAGAAUGUUUCUACCCAUUUCUAUAAUUUAUUUUUUAUAAUAGUAGAAGAGAGGUAAGAGGUGAUAAAAAGUAUAAAAAAAAGUCAAUGAUCCAACAAUUUUCUUAGAAACAGUCGGAGAUGGUGCUAGGAGGAAUAUCCUCCUCCUUAAAGUCAGCAUAGAACUACACCACGAAAACCCAUUAUGGCGUGCUGCCUACGAAGGCCUAGUUAGUUUAAAAAACUUGUAAAUUGCAAACAGACAUUUAAAUUAAAAUAGAAAAUAGUAAUUUAAUCAAAUAGUAAAUUAAUCAAUCUAUCUAUUAAAUAAGUGUUGGCCUAAGAUAAAAUGGUAAAAAGAUUGUAAAAAACACACAUACAGAUAUAGAUAUAAACAUAGAAAUCAUUUCCUGAAAAUUGAAUCAUACUUCUAUUUGAAAUAAAAUAAAGAACUUUUCUCUUUUUUUUUUCUCCUUCGUUAAAGAAAACUAAUAAAAGUAAUCUUUGGCUUAUAGUCGAGCUAUUCUACCGAUCUCUUUUUUUUUUUUUGUUGUUGUUGUUAUUGUUUAAUAGACCAUAGGAAAAAUAUACACCGUUCUCGGUAGUUUAAACAAUUGAAUUAAAAACAAAAUGGGAUUCAUUACAAUUACAAACAGUACAUGCAUGUUUUAUGUUGAUAGAAUCCUAGAAACACUUUAAAGUAAUCUCUAUUUGAUUGCACGUAAUAUAAACGUCAAAACGAUCAUGAUGUUUUUUUCGGUUCUUCCCGAAACGUCUAAGGCCGAGAAGGCACUCUGGGUUACCCUUUUAGAAACACGAUAGUUUUCUAUUACCUUUAAUACGCGAACUCCACCUGCCGAGAUUGUGGCAGGAUCUACACAAUUAGAGGUGAGUAGGAUUAUUCGACAAAGCCCUUGGAGUCGAAAUAAAGUUACCGGCAGAUGAACUCACCCGGUUUAGAGACCGCCUGAUGCCUUAGGUUCUACCUAGGUAGGAAGUGGAACCCCAGUGCCUCACCAAGCACAGAACGUGUCAUGUCAUGCAUCGAUUUAAAGAACCAGGAAGUUAAAAACAAAAGAUUAAACUACAAAACUACCGAUCGGAUCUGAUGUCGAAUAAUAAAACGUAAUUUAAUUAAAUGUGAACUAGACGUAUCUUGUGCGGAAGUAAUUAAGAACUUAAGGUCAAGCUAAAGGAAAAUGAAGAAACAAACCUUCAAAUAAUCGGUUACUCAACUUAACUAGAGGGACUAAACCCACCUAAAAUAAUUUACUCAGACUACUAUUAGACUCCAACCUUAAACUCAAAGAAUACUAAAUAGACAUCUACUUUCGCUUAGGUUAUACAUUUACCCCAAUUUGGUUAAAGAAGCUUUUUCUCUCUUCACUCUGGUUAUGUUAGGGUGAAGUAAGAUUUACCUUAUUAAGUUACGUUUAAUCAAUUGUGCUCAAGGAACUUAGUUACCAGUACUUUGGUGGGGAGAAGUGAGAAGAUGAAGUCAGAUCAGGUACAGUUAGUACAAAGUGUUCCGUAUACCCUUUAGAGUCUUCAGUUGGCCUUUUGAGCCUCUUUUAGUCAUCAAUUUCUAUAUAUAUAUAUCCCGGUAAACCGGAUGAAAAGUCGUCGUAUUAAUUAAAACUAAUUUUUGACAUAUCACAAAUUAAUUAAAAUCUACUUUUCGUUAAAAAGACUUUAUUAAAACAUUUCAACAAACUGUUUUAAUAAAAUAAAAAUUGCCCCAUUUUCUGCCCCAAAUUCGUUUAUUUCCUCCCGUUUACUGCCCCAUUCGGGGCGGAUCGGGGCGGGAGCUCCACCACCCCGGAUCCAUUUGCAUCCCUACCCGUACGGCCGUACCUUAUUAAUUAACUUAAUUUAAUUAAGUUACAGAAAAAAAAAAACUCUUAAUUUAAUUAUAGAAAAAAAAUUUUCAAAUUUUUUACUUAAUUAACUUAAUUUUGUAUCUUUUUAUCUUUAUAUGUUUAAGAAAUAUGAGUAUCUAUGCUAAUAACAUAAAUCUUGAGAGAGAAAAAACUUAAUUUAAUAGCCGAAUUUUUUAUCCCGAAUUUUUAAUUGAUGAACGUAUAAUAUCCGUAUAAAUCACGUAUCCGAAUAAUUGACGAAUCUGUUUUUUAGCCGUAAUUUUUAACUAAUUUAAAAAUUAGAAGACGAAUUUUAUCCGAAUUAUACCCAUACCGAAUUUUUGCCGAAUCCGAAUUAACUAACUAUGGUUGGGCAUCAUGGAUGCUUAAUGUCCUUGGUGGUGCAACUCACCUUGUUCGAGGUUGAGCACAAAAGGAUUAGUGCUUUCUACAUUAAUUUUAGAUAGAUCACUUCAGUCUCGGGGUCGGUUGUCUGUAUUUGACGACUUCGAGCGUCAUGGCAAUGUUCUCUACGAGGCUUAUUACUCAGUAUACAACAUUUACCUCGAGGGACAAAAUUGUAUCAGAAACUCAAGGUGUUUAAUGUGCCAACAGGUUAAAGGCGGAGCAUUAGCGCCUAGCGGGGAAGUUCAAAGCCUUUCAGUGCUCGUGUGGAAGUGGGAAUAACAAAGGAUUUAUCGAUGCCAUUUAGAUCAUAGUGGAUUGAUUGAUGAGGUCGGCGUGGUUCCUACUGAUUGACUUGGCAUGGACUAGUGAAAGGCUUUCCUACAUUUAUUUCGACAAGAUUGUGCAUUUGCAUAGGGUGCCUUCGUCAACUGUUUCUUAUUAGGACUCUCGCUCCAUUCUCUCACUUUUGGCAAAGUGCGCAACAAGCGUCAGGCACACGACUGAGUCUUUAUCUUGGCAUGCCACAGACCGAUGGUCAAUCGGAGCGAGUAAUUAGAGCAAGUAAUCGAAAUUUUCAGUGAAUGUUGUUUGAGCACGUGUGAGCGAGUAAUCAAAAUUUUCAGUGGAUGUUGUUUGAGCACGUGCGUUCGUCUACGAUGAGAGUUGGGAGAAAUACCUACCUUUGAUAGAAUUUGCCUAUAAUAGCAGCCACUGGACAAGCAUCAACAGUUCAGAUUGGUCAAGGAUGAAUUAUAAUUGCUUACUUUGGUCUUUAAGCUAGAAAAAUCUACGCUUGGUGAUCAUUAUCCUCUAAAAUAUCUCCUUUUAAAUCUUACAACAAUAAGGUUCGAGGUUAGUUUAGGCCCAAGUGAGAGGCUAGUUUGGGCCCAAGAAAAAGCAUGCCCAGGAUCUAGUUAUGGUGGAGGGGCCUCAAGCUGUGAAUUUACCAAAAUGCCCCUCGAUACGUCCAAAAUCCCGAAUUAGCUCCCAAUCUAAACUUCAUCAUGAAUACUUUUCAUAAAAUUGCAUUAUAUACUGGUUUCAUGCGAUUCAAAAGGUGGUAUUAGAAAGAUAACUCAUCAAGCAUUUUUAUAAAAGAAAUUGGAACUCAGUUCGAUCCUAAAAAUCGUAUCAGAUUCACUCUCAAAAUCAAUGCAUGUCUGAUGAGUAGAAAUUUGAGUCACCGAGGGUCCAAGUAUAAUUGGGUUUUCCAACAGCAUAUGAGUAAUAUUUGGAUGGUGGCCACCAAAUAUUAGUAGUUUUGAAAUAUUAGAAACAUUCGGUAUUCAUGUAUUAUAUGUAUUUCAUGACUAUUCGAGUAUUAGCUACUCCAAUGACAUAGUUUUAAGUUAUAGGCACAUUCAUUAUUGAAAUUUGGCACAAAAAUUGUUAGAUUUGCGUAAUUGUGUCUAGUAACUAUAAGUGAUACACAUUGAAACAGUUGGGGAGCUCUUUUUUUUAGCGUACCUCCCUCGUAGAAUUUUUUUUAUUUACUUACUGUGUUGCGUAUUUAGUUUCAGUGAGCGAGCGAGCGAGGCGUCCAGUAGUUAGUAGUAGAUUUCAAAAUUGAGCAUUAUAAAGUAGUAUAUUUUGAAAAUUGAUGCAUCAAACAAAAACUUGUCAUGUAAUAAUUACUAGUGUAGUAACCCGCGCGAUGCAGCAGAGAGAAAUAUCGAAGCAAUCAUUUUUUCUAUCAUCGGUGCUAAUCUGGAGAAAUAAGCCUGAAAUAUGUAAUUCAUCAAGUACUAUGAAAUGAAAAAUUUUAGUGUAAAUAGUUCGCAAAAAUUGAUGAAAAACUACUAAAGAUGAUUGAGAGCUAGAGCAGGUGGGCAUGUCCUUAUUAAAGUUGGUAUUAUUCAUGCACUAUCAAGCAUCAAAUAAAUUAAAAACAUCUGGUUUGUUAAGCACAAUAAACAUGAAAUUCAUAAGCUCACUUUGAUCUCUCCUCAGUUCACAAAAGCUAAUAUACGUUGCUCCAUUCGCCAGCCUGCAUAUUCUCUGACCGAACAAAGGAGAUGCUAUUGCUGCUGCUAUUUUCUGAUAAAGAAACCAAGACCUCUCCAAGGGGUCCACCGAUCAACGAAUGUGAGUCCUCCGUAGUGUUACAUGACACAGUAAGACCAAGUAGUAUAGAGAUUGAAAAGGAAGAUGAUAUAACAUUACAUCGGUCUUAAACGCAUUGACAUUCUCCUUUUGGCUGCAAUUUUUCAACUCUUCUGGGAAAGGGAAACAGAAUCCGUUCAGAUCUGUAUAGUUUAGCUUCAGCUUGUUCUUAUAUUGUUGCUGAUGAAUUGUAUUGUAUGUUCUCUCUUCACAAAAAUUCGAUGUUGGUUUGGUGUUUGGAUCUGUAGACUUGGAUGGAAAGUUCAAGUUGGUGGUGUGGUGGUUUUUUUAUGUUUUUUGUUCACAGGCUUCCUUGAAUGUGUUUGAGUUCUGUGCAUGUGGUGGUCAUAGUAGUUGCAAGCAGGCGUGGCUUCUCUUAAGCACCUCCAUAUUUUGGCAUCAGUUCGGCGGCACCUCCUAGGCUCGAACUCCAUAGUAUUUAAAUACUUCAGAUUAUAUACUGCAUGCAUAAAAUACACAUCAACGAAUUAAAAUAAAUAAAAAAUUAUUAGAGUUAUUUUCACUAUAAACAAAUUAAAUUUAUUAAUCCUUUUAAAUUCAAAACAUAAAUAGUACACAUUAUUCUAAGAGUGCCUUUAUUGAUAUUAGCCAAGACCUAAGAGUUCUCAAAGUCAUCCAUUUUGUGCAGAUAAGAAAAUAGAUGUCUAAAGAUUACUGUGCAUUUUGCGCCUAGGUAGAUCUUUCGCAUCCUCACCACCAAAAAUUUGGGAUAUUUCUAUAUCACUAUUAGCUUCCCCAUAUAGUGUAGAACUACAAUUCUAGUCCUAAAAUUAGCUCGGAUUAUUUUUUUUAAGAUUUUUAAGUGUCACAAACUUAGCAUACUACAAUUUCUCAGACACAAAAAAAUUGAAUAUUUAGUAAAUGCAAUAAUGUAUUGAACUUGUUAAAAGAAAUGCACAUGUCAUCCUUUUGGCUCCUUGUUCGAUCUCUGGUACUAAAUUUGCCAUGCUAUAGGAGGACCACAUUACCAGCGCUAAAUUGUUACUUGGUUGCCUCUUAUUCUAAAUCUGAAAGGCAUAAAGACUUGCGAAUUAGUUAAUGAUUUCAGAAGCAAACUCAGUUACAAUUUUUUUACUUUGGAUACUAUAUGAAAAGUUUCGAAUCAUCAAAGUUGAAUUAUAUGAAUAAAAAAAAAAGAAAAAAAAAUUAAUUCUCUUAGGAGCACCACCACUAAAGUAAAGCAACAAAUAUUAAAUAUUAUAUUUUAUAUAUUAGUACUAUAGCUCGAGCACACCAAGCAUUCGAGAAAAUGCGCAUGAAAUGAAAACCAACUUAUCGCACCACAGAGGGCAAAUGUCUAGUGUAUGCCAGUCAGCGCUAAGUAGUCUACUAAAUACCUGGCAGAUGUAAUUGGACACUCAUGGAAAAUGAGUAGAACCUUUUUUUCUCUCCAAUUCUCUGUCCUACAACCUCUCCUCUCUUCUCUCCACCUCUAGUUAUCCAAUCUGAUCCCUCCUUCUACCUCCCUUUACCCUUAACUUCUUCUCCUCUUUUCCCCACACUCAAUUUUCUCAAUUGCCUGAGCUGCACCAUCCAUCAUCCCCACCACCAUCCUCGUCUCAAAGCAUUCUCAUCCUCGACGGAUUGCAGCGAGUCUGGGACAUUACAAUUUCUAUUAGAGUCUAAAGUUAAAGCUAUGCUAGAAGCAGUAAAGGAGGCAUAGAGCAGGCACAAUUAACAAUAUUAUUGAGGCUCCGUGGACUUUGAGGAACCUGAUCAAAGAGAUUCAAACUAAAUCAAUAUUUUUUUUUUUUGAAAAUCGCGCAUCUACUGAAAGAGGCUAAUCAAGCUGCAAACUGGUUAGCUCAUUAUGGUAGAACAAAAAAGUUAUCUUUUGAGCGAAAAGAAUCAACCUCUUUUGGUCCUUUCACAAUUACUUAAUACGGAUAUUAUGGACGAUUUUGUUUCACACCAAUCUGCGUAUUAUAGUCUAGCCAUAAGCUGAUUUCAAUAAAGGCUCAAUUUUAUUUGUUAAGAAAAAAAAAUAAAAGAUAAUUUGACAACUGAAUUAAUAAUUCUGUCAUAUCGAGACAUAAUUUAAGUCAUACCAUGUCUGAUGGAGAUGAUGUAGCAACUAUGAUAUGCCAACUUGGACAAAAAUUUUGCGUGCUUGUUUCUUUGUUGGUUGACCAUUAAAUUUUCAAGUUUGGAUAAUUCUACUAUUAUAUAAAAUAAAAUUAGUUUUGUUAAAACCUUUUAGGGAAUUUAUAAUUUAUAGUUCAUAUAGAAUGACACCAAAGUUAGAAUAACAACACUAGAAUUGAUAAAUAAUAUUAAAUAUACUUAAAAUGUAGAAUGGUCAUUUUGGAGAGAAAGAAAUUUAACUUUAACAAGUCAACAAAAAUAGAGAAAUAUAAUUGCAAACUAUGAUAUUUUGAAGGGAUAUAUUUGAUCCAAAACUCUUGUAUAAAUAAAUAUGCAAUAUCAUAGCUUUGUGGUGACACUUACGCAAUUAAGCCCUUAAAGUAUAAAUAAAUAAAUAAAAUAAACAAUUGGAAGUGUCAACCACAAUGUUUAAGUUGGCUUGUCCACCCCUUUGGGAUUAUGAUCACAGAAUAACAUACCCAAGGUAUUAAAAAUAAUCUGUGUUCAACUACAUGCUUGAGUACAAGAUAACUGUCGCUAACAACCAAACCCUAGUAACCCUAUAAACACAAUAACUGACUAUACAUUCUCAUUCAGUACCUAAAAAAGAAAAAAGAAAAAGAAAAUUACAAUCAUCUAAAUGAAAAAUUUUCAGAGUUGCCGGAAAUACAAGUGGAUGACCAAAACAUCUCACCGAGUACUCCCUCGAAAAACAGCAAAAAAAAAAAAAAAAAGAAAAGAAAAAAGUCAUCAGCUUACCACACUUCUAGCAUUCCCCUACUGCAACUAUACUAACUGGUCAGCUCGGUAGAUACAUACACAAAGAAAAA